rnacentral:ncRNA from 1 species
UAUUAAUUUGAUUUUGAUUAAAUUAUUAUUAUUAAUUUAGCUUCUCAUAGAUAUAAAUUUAUAAAUUAAUAUUUAUAUAGUAAAUAAUUUUAUCUAUAUUUUGCUAGUGAUUUAUUCUUUAAAUAUUUAAUUAUUUAAAUAUAGGCUAAAAUUAUUAAAAUUAACAAAAUUCGUGCCAGCAGUUGCGGUUAAACGAUAAAUAUAUAAUAACAAAGACUUUUUUAUGUUUUUAUAAAAAUUUAUGAAGGUCUAAUUUUAUUAAAUAAAUAAUCUUAAUAAACUAUUAAAUUACAUAAACUAAAACAAGGAUUAGAUACCCUUUUAUUUAUGAAUUAACAAAUUAAAGUCGGAUAUUAAAAACACAAAGUUCUAAAUCCUAAAAAUUUGGCGGUACUUUAACAUAUCAGGGGAACUUGCAUAUUAAUUCGAUAACCCACGAAUAUCUUACUCUUUUUUUGAAAUUCAGCUAGUGUACUGCCGUUUUUAUAUAAAUUUAUGAUUAUAUAUAAAAAAUAUUAAUAAGUAUUUUACAACAGGUCAAGGUGCAGCUUAUAUAAGAGGUUUGUGUGAGUUACAUUUAUAAAAUUAAUGGAUUUUAUUUUAUAAAUUAAAUAAAAAUGGACUUGAUAGUAAUUAAAAAUAUUAAUGAAUUAACUCUUAAAGUGUGUACAAAUCGCCCGUCACUCCCAGAUAUGGGAUAAGUCGUAACAUAGUAGGUGUAAUGGAAAUUGCAUCUGU